AGGGUUUUAUUUCUUUGCUUACAACAAAGAUUUUUGCAACCCUU
rnacentral:tRNA from 1 species